rnacentral:tRNA from 1 species
GCUCAGUUGGUUAAGCAUCUGACUCCUGAUUUCUGCUCAGGUCACGAUCUCAUGGUUCGUGGGUUGGAUCCCUGCACUGGGCU